CCACAUCAUGUUGAAACACAAGUUUCUAUAUGAUCACCAAAGUUAAGCAAUGUCAAGCCUGGUCAGUACCUAGAUGGAUGACCACUUGGAAAUAACAGGUGCUGUAA